GUUGAAAUGCCGGUUCCCGUACAAUCACUGAAGUUAAGCAACUUUGAGCUUGAUCAGUACCUAGGUGGGUGACCGCUUUGGAAUACCAGAUACUGUAAG